rnacentral:tRNA from 1 species
AGAGCUUUACGUCUCAAAAGUAGAGCGCCGGUCUUACAAACCGGGUGAGGAGGAGCGUUACCUCCAAGCUCUA